rnacentral:lncRNA from 1 species
AUGGACUUCGGGUUUAGUAUCUCAUACCUCACUGAGUGACUUUCCCGUUACUCACCCCUCUCUCUUCCCCAUUUCAGGUGAGACUGACGAGUAUAUGAUAUUUGGACGGAUGGGUGCUACUGGACUUUUUAUUCGGAUUUUUAUUGGGGCUUUGGAUGAGUGUAAUUGGGUAUAUGGGCUUUUAUUAUAUGUGAUAUUGUUGGUGGUCCGCUGUUCUCCGGAUUGGAGGUGACGGGCGUCACAAGAAGCCUCAUGAUGAGGUGCAAAACCAGUUUCUCCUCGUUGUCGAUUCUAUUGACAAGAUCAGUUCAAACAGCCCUAAGCAGAAUCAAUUCUGUUCAGGCCCAAGUCACUUCAAAUCCAACAACCUAAGCCCAUUUCAACAAGUCAUCAACUCUCUCCAACCGUACUCUGCGAUAAAGAUAGAGCAAGAGAAGAGAAAAGAAAGGAAAAGUUAUGACAUCACCAUGUGGUCUUGGCUUGUACAACUCAGUCUCAGCCUUAGGAUCUCUCGGAAAAGAAGGAUGAUGACAAGUGUAAUAGGAACUAGGGCUUUCACUUGUUUCUAUUUAAGCAAUCUCAAUCUAUUACAAAACCUUAAGAAGCAAGAAAUAGAAAUCUCAGUUUCAGAAUCUUAUUUCUUCACACUUUCAUGGUAUCAGAGCCAUGGAAGUUGUUGAACUCUAUUCACCUCCUUCACUAAAGAUAGUGAACUCAAUCACAGUUUAAGCUCAUCGAGCGAAACUACUUAUUGUGGAAGAAUCAGUUCGAAGCUUUUCUCAACGGUCAACGUCUUUUAGGGUUUGUCACCGG